GUGAUUGUAGCCGAGUGGUUUAGGCCCCUGAUUGUGAGUCAGGUCUACGCGAGUUCGAAUCUCGUCAAUCACCCCA
rnacentral:tRNA from 1 species